GUUUCUCUCAGGCAGCAACGCCAGCAGGGCGUUUUGCUCGACACACCACACCGUAGAGGGAAUUUCUAGUUUUCUUUUAGAGCCAGUGAAAAAAGGGAAGAAAAAUCAGACAUCAGUUCUUGGAAGUUGAAACAACAAAAAUCCCAAAACACCCACCCAGGACAGGACAGGAGGGAUAGUCUCCUGUGUUUUAUUGUUCCCGUUUGUUUUGGGUUUUCCGUUUCCCUAGGAAAGGAAUUCUUCUGCUUUGGUUUGAUUCAGUUCUUCGAGUGUGUGCGUGCGUGUGUGCCUUUUUCCGUAUGGAUUGAGUUCCCUUACACUGUUUGUUAAAUAAAAAAAUAGGAGAAAGAGUGUAAAUUAACACAGCAACAAGAGCUCGCACCAGGCGGCAGAGUCCUGGCAGGAGCGUCACCCAUAACGGGGACACAAUCGAUCAAUAAAAAGCGAGUCUCCUGCUGUACAGCAAGACGGGGCUGUAUGUUCACAGUGAACGACGAGUGAAAUCUAGUACAACAGCGGGACGAGUAGUAGCAGAAGUAUAUUCUCCAUCACUCUGUGUGUGCGCUCUCUCCCUCUCUGCCAUCAUUACGUCGCGUCCGGUGUUUGUGGAAAGAAGGAAAUGGUGUCAGCGAAGAUGGUCGAACCGUUGAUAGUGCUUCUGGUUUAUUUUAAUUGUGAUUUAAUAUUUUACGUUAAAAAUAUCAAUAAACAUUAAAGUGUAUCGUGGGAACAGUGUGUUUACCUCCCUUUAAUCAAUACUACUACUAACUGCUGCUGCUACAACUACUACUACCGCCCACUACCCAUUCCGAAUAAGCUUACAACCCGUAUAGAGAAGCCAAAGCGGAUACGGUACGAGGGAAACCCUGAAGGUCAUCAGGGGAAUAUAAAAUAGACGACAUACUGCACAGUUGAUAGCGACUAAAAUCGCGUACAACGUGCUCUAAGAAAUCAAAGCAGCUUACAGCGGUGUGUGCGUGUCCGUUCCGCUUCGAACCGACUUAAGCUACAGUGGCUUAACGCACACAAACGCUGGCAGCCACUGGCAAACGUGACGCGAGCAAGCGAGACGGAAACGCUCAGGCACAAACGGUGCGAGAAGGAGGGAACGAGCCAAAACAAACACCAACAAGAGCCCGCGCCUCUCAGUGGCUGUGUGUGUAUAAGUGUGUGUGUGUAUAUUCGCGCGCACAUUGAACUCGCGGCUUUAUAAAUGCCUUCGCUUCCGCGAACGAAAACAAAGCAAUCGCAUUCGAGCGAUUGAGUCGAUCGGGUGUAUCUCCUGUGUGUAUCUUCAAGCCAAGUAGGCCUCGCUUGAGCAGGCCCCCCCGCAACCGAACAGUGCAGUACGAAAAAGUAGUUAUGUGUGUGAAGUGAGAAAAAAAAAACAAACAGGGAGUGAAGUAAUCUAAAUUUCGCUUUUUUCUGUCUGGUAGCUCAAAUCCGUUUGAGUCUACCGACCACAACCAAGCAGCGUCAAUGUACGCCAUACGUUGGACUACAGAGCGCUAAAAACGCACCCAAAAAAAAAACCCGUAAAACCUAACAGAACGCCCUAAAGCGUCUGUCGCGCGUGUUUGUGUUGUGAAGUUGUUUUGUAAUUCGUGGUGUGUGAGUGUGCGUUACAAACACCACCACCGUCGUCGUUUCUUUAUGUUUAAUCCAUUUUUUAACCGUGUAAUUUUGACGAAAAAGCGAAAGCCUAAAUUGUAAAGUAAACUUAAACUAAAGAAGAAAGACAGUCGAACAAACUGUUCUGGUUACAACUUUGGGACACGUAGUUACGUCCCGGAGAAAAAGACCUUUUUCCCCCUUGAAAGUAAGAGCAAAUUUCUGUUGAAAAGCACAACACAGAGAACCACAAGGAAGAGAACCAAGCGGAUUUCCUCGUUUUCAAUUUGCACCUACCGUCAAAACACCUUGAACGAGUUACGCACCAACGGGCAUCACUUUCGUGCUAAAGGUGGCCGAAAGGACAAUUUUCUUCACUGGGGCUUAGGCCGUUGUAUGGAGCGUGAAAAACCAUCGUUUAUAAAAGGGGACGAACCGGGCCUGGCUGGCAAGCAGGGCCGGAGCGAUCUUAUCUGUGCGAACAGCAACAGCAGCACCGUGAAAAUUGCUAGCGUUGAACGUCAAGAUGGCGCGUACGUACCGACCGUUGGCCGCUGGGGCAACGAGUGG